UACGUAGGGUGCGAGCGUUGUCCGGAAUUAUUGGGCGUAAAGAGCUUGUAGGCGGUCUGUCGCGUCUGCUGUGAAAAUCCGGGGCUCAACCCCGGACUUGCAGUGGGUACGGGCAGACUAGAGUGUGGUAGGGGAGACUGGAAUUCCUGGUGUAGCGGUGAAAUGCGCAGAUAUCAGGAGGAACACCGGUGGCGAAGGCGGCCAUCUGGACGGGUAA
rnacentral:rRNA from 1 species